GCCUCGGUAGCUCAGUGGAUAGAGCAACCGCCUCCUAAGCGGUAGGUCGCGCGUUCGAUUCGCGCUCGGGGCA
rfam:Acidithiobacillus sp. GGI-221 contig_615, whole genome shotgun sequence.